GAAAAAUAUUUUCCAUGACACAGGUAAAAUCAGUUGUUUUAGGGAAAAUGUCUUACAGAUUUUUUUUCGUAAGACAUUUUCCAUCUCCUUCUUCAUCCGGUUAAAAUCCUUCUCCCUUCCUUCCGUUCUUCAUCAUUUUUCUCUCUUUCUCUUUUUCUGCAAAUCUCAUUCCUCUUUUUCUCUCUUUCUCUGGCAAAGGCAAAUCUCAUUCAUCCCUUUCUCUCUUUCUCAGGCAACUCUCAUUCCUCUUCGCAAGGUCUUGGCUUAAGAUGGAUCGUAAUCAAGAUCAAAAUGCAAUUGUCAGAGUCGUGGCUUCAGUUUUAGCUUUUGGGGCUCUCUGGAUUAAAAAAUUAAAAAUUGGGAAGGAAAUUGCUUCUCACCCUCGUGUGAAUCGACAUUAUGAAAGAGAAAAUUAUAUUAAUAGUAUUUUAUACAGUGGUGACCAACAUUGUAUUGAUGUGAUAAGGAUGAGACCAAUAGCCUUUUUUAAUUUGUGUGAUAUUCUUAGUAGGAAUAAUUUGUUACAGUCAACUAAAUCGGUGAAUAUUAGGGAGCAAGUAGUUAUAUUUUUACAUAUAAUUGGUCAUAAUGUAAGGUUUCGAGUGAUUGGAUCUAGAUAUUAUAAAUCAAUUGAGACAAUUUAUCGUUACUUUAGGGUUGUAUUGAGAGCUAUUUUGAAAUUGUAUAAGCUAGUUAUUAGAUUAACUGAUAAGUCAACUCCUAGUGAAAUCAGAAACAAUCCAAGGUUUUAUCCUUAUUUUAAAGAUUUUAUUAGAGCAUUAGAUGGAACUCAUGUUCGUGCAUCCGUUCCACUUAGCAUUCAAGGAAGAUUUCGUAGCCGUAAAGAGGGGACGACACAAAAUGUAUUGGCUACCAUUACAUUUGAUUUGAAAUUUUCCUAUGUUCUAGCUGGUUAGGAAGGUAGUGCACAUGAUUCUCAUAUUUUAAGUGACGCACUUUCACACCCAAGAGGAUUAAGAGUUUCGGAAGGUAAAUAUUAUCUUGCUGAUGCUGGAUAUGACAUCCGAAAUGGAUAUAUUACCCCAUAUCAUGUUGUCUGAUACCAUUUAAAAGAGUUUAGUGCUCAGGGGCCUGAAAAUGCAAAGGAACUCUUUAAUUUUCGUCAUUCAUCAUUGUGAAUCACUAUUAAACGUGCUUUUGGGAUUUUGAAGAAAUGGUUUCGUGUAUUAGAUGCUGAACCAUUUUGGAAUUUUCAAACUCAAGUAGAUAUAGUUUUGUCUUGUUGUAUCAUUCACAAUCAUAUAAUGGGAGUUGAUCCUAGUGAUGUACUUAAUCAAGGAUUAUACGAGGAGCAUGAGUCUGAUUUGAUAAUACCAACUCUUACGGAGCGAGAAGAAAGAGAAGAAGUAAGAGAAUGGUCUGCUAAGAGAGACGAAAUUGCACAAACUAUGUGGACUGAUUAUAUGGCUAGAAAUAUUAGAAUGGGUAAGGGCAACAAAGAAGGGACCUCCAAGCAAUUCAGGUGGACAAAACCGAUGGAACAUCUUUUUCUUGAAAUUCUAGUAGAGGAGGCCCAGAAAGGAAAUAAGCCUUCUAACUCUUUCAAAGCAGUUUCUAUUAAUCGAGUUGUCGAAGCUAUUUCAGAAAGAUUUCAAGUCCAAUGCGAUGUGAAGCAUAUGGAAAAUCAUUUGAGGACUGUAAAAAACCAGUGGCAGAUUAUAUGCACAAUUCGAGGUGAAUGUGGUUUUGGAUGGGAUGAUAACAUGAAAAUGAUCACAUGUGAUAGAGCAACAUAUGAUGCAGCAGUGAUAGUAAUAUAUGUAUGUAUAUGUUAAGUAUAUUUCAAUUGUUUUUUUACUUGUUAUUCUAAUUGUGUAUAAUAUCCAACAAGCACACAAGAAGUAUGAACCAUUUUUGAAUAAAAGCAUUGAUCAUUAUGAAA